GGCGAAGCCUGAUCCGCCAUGCCGCGUGCGGGAAGAAGGCCUUCGGGUUGUAAACCGCUUUAGCUCCGGGAAAAAGGGCUGACGUGCUAAUACCGCGUUGGUUUGAUGGUACUGGAAGAAUAAGCACCGGCUAACUACGUGCCAGCAGCCGCGGUAAUACGUAGGGUGCGAGCGUUAAUCGGAAUUACUGGGCGUAAAGCGUGCGCAGGCGGUCUUGUAAGACAGUCGUGAAAGCCCCGGGCUUAACCUGGGAACUGCGAUUGUGACUGCAAGGCUAGAGUGUGUCAGAGGGGGGUGGAAUUCCACGUGUAGCAGUGAAAUGCGUAGAGAUGUGGAGGAACACCGAUGGCGAAGGCAGCCCCCUGGGAUAACACUGACGCUCAUGCACGAAAGCGUGGGGAGCAAACAGGAUUAGAUACCCUGGUAGUCCACGCCCUAAACGAUGUCAACUGGUUGUUGGAAGGGUAACCUUUUAGUAACGAAGCUAACGCGUGAAGUUGACCGCCUGGGGAGUACGGUCGCAAGAUUAAAACUCAAAGGAAUUGACGGGGACCCGCACAAGCGGUGGAUGAUGUGGUUUAAUUCGAUGCAACGCGAAAAACCUUACCUACACUUGACAUGCCAGAAAUCCUGCAGAGAUGUGGGAGUGCCGCAAGGAAUCUGGGCACAGGUGCUGCAUGGCUGUCGUCAGCUCGUGUCGUGAGAUGUUGGGUUAAGUCCCGCAACGAGCGCAACCCUUGUCACUAGUUGCUACAUUUAGUUGGGCACUCUAGUGAGACUGCCGGUGACAAACCGGAGGAAGGUGGGGAUGACGUCAAGUCCUCAUGGCCCUUUAUGUGUAAGGGCUACACACGUCAUACAAUGGUCGGUACAGAGGGUUGCCCAACCCNCGA
rnacentral:rRNA from 1 species